rnacentral:rRNA from 1 species
UACGAAGGGGGCUAGCGUUGCUCGGAAUCACUGGGCGUAAAGGGUGCGUAGGCGGGUCUUUAAGUCAGGGGUGAAAUCCUGGAGCUCAACUCCAGAACUGCCUUUGAUACUGAAGAUCUUGAGUUCGGGAGAGGUGAGUGGAACUGCGAGUGUAGAGGUGAAAUUCGUAGAUAUUCGCAAGAACACCGGUGGCGAAGGCGGCUCACUGGCCCAUUACUGACGCUGAGGCACGAAAGCGUGGGGAGCAAACAGG